GACGAACGCUGGCGGCGUGCUUAACACAUGCAAGUCGAACGGUGAAAGCGGAGCUUGCUCCGCUGGAUCAGUGGCGAACGGGUGAGUAACACGUGGGCAACCUGCCCCUCACUUCGGGAUAACUCCGGGAAACCGGGGCUAAUACCGGAUAUGACCUCCUUGGGCAUCCUUGGAGGUGGAAAGUUUUUCGGUGAGGGAUGGGCCCGCGGCCUAUCAGCUUGUUGGUGAGGUAGUGGCUCACCAAGGCGACGACGGGUAGCUGGCCUGAGAGGGCGACCGGCCACACUGGGACUGAGACACGGCCCAGACGCCUACGGGAGGCAGCAGUGGGGAAUAUUGCGCAAUGGGCGAAAGCCUGACGCAGCAACGCCGCGUGCGGGAUGACGGCCUUCGGGUUGUAAACCGCUUUCAGCAGGGAAGAAGCCGCAAGGUGACGGUACCUGCAGAAGAAGCACCGGCUAACUACGUGCCAGCCGCCGCCGUAA
rnacentral:rRNA from 1 species